rnacentral:rRNA from 1 species
CCUACGGGCGGCAGCAGUGAGGAAUAUUGGUCAAUGGACGAGAGUCUGAACCAGCCAAGUAGCGUGAAGGAUGACUGCCCUAUGGGUUGUAAACUUCUUUUAUAUGGGAAUAAAAUGUUCCACGUGUGGGAUUUUGUAUGUACCAUAUGAAUAAGGAUCGGCUAACUCCGUGCCAGCAGCCGCGGUAAUACGGAGGAUCCGAGCGUUAUCCGGAUUUAUUGGGUUUAAAGGGAGCGUAGGUGGAUUGUUAAGUCAGUUGUGAAAGUUUGCGGCUCAACCGUAAAAUUGCAGUUGAAACUGGCAGUCUUGAGUACAGUAGAGGUGGGCGGAAUUCGUGGUGUAGCGGUGAAAUGCUUAGAUAUCACGAAGAACUCCGAUUGCGAAGGCAGUUCACUGGACUGCAACUGACACUGAUGCUCGAAAGUGUGGGUAUCAAACAGGAUUAGAUACCCUAGUAGUC